rnacentral:tRNA from 1 species
GGAUAUAUAGCUCAGUAGGUAGAGUGCUUGCCUUGCAUGCAAAAGGCCCUGCAUUGAAUCCC